UACGUAGGGUGCAAGCGUUAUCCGGAAUUAUUGGGCGUAAAGAGCUCGUAGGCGGUUUGUCGCGUCUGCUGUGAAAACUGGAGGCUCAACCUCCAGCCUGCAGUGGGUACGGGCAAACUAGAGUGCGGUAGGGGAGAUUGGAAUUCCUGGUGUAGCGGUGGAAUGCGCAGAUAUCAGGAGGAACACCGAUGGCGAAGGCAGAUCUCUGGGCCGUAACUGACGCUGAGACGCGAAAGCGUGGGGAGCGAACAGG
rnacentral:rRNA from 1 species